CUAAGCAUAUCAAUAAGCGGAGGAAAAGAAACCAACAGGGAUUGCCCUAGUAACGGCGAGUGAAGCGGCAACAGCUCAAAUUUGAAAUCUGGCUCUUUUAGAGUCCGAGUUGUAAUUUGCAGAGGGCGCUUUGGCUUUGGCAGCGGUCCAAGUUCCUUGGAACAGGACGUCACAGAGGGUGAGAAUCCCGUACGUGGUCGCUGGCUAUUGCCGUGUAAAGCCCCUUCGACGAGUCGAGUUGUUUGGGAAUGCAGCUCUAAAUGGGAGGUACAUUUCUUCUAAAGCUAAAUAUUGGCCAGAGACCGAUAGCGCACAAGUAGAGUGAUCGAAAGAUGAAAAGCACUUUGGAAAGAGAGUCAAACAGCACGUGAAAUUGUUGAAAGGGAAGCGCUUGCAGCCAGACUUGCUUACAGUUGCUCAUCCGGGCUUUUGCCCGGUGCACUCUUCUGUAGGCAGGCCAGCAUCAGUUUGGGCGGUAGGAUAAAGGUCUCUGUCACGUACCUCUCUUCGGGGAGGCCUUAUAGGGGAGACGACAUACUACCAGCCUGGACUGAGGUCCGCGCAUCUGCUAGGAUGCUGGCGUAAUGGCUGUAAGCGGCCCGUCUUGAAACACGGACCAAGGAGUCUAACAUCUAUGCGAGUGUUUGGGUGUCAAGCCCGAGCGCGUAAUGAAAGUGAACGGAGGUAGGAACCCGCAAGGGUGCACUAUCGACCGAUCCUGAUGUCUUCGGAAGGAUUUGAGUAAGAGCAUGGCUGUUGGGACCCGAAAGAUGGUGAACUAUGCUUGAAUAGGGUGAAGCCAGAGGAAACUCUGGUGGAGGCUCGCAGCGGUUCUGACGUGCAAAUCGAUCGUCAAAUUUGGGCAUAGGGGCGAAAGACUAAUCGAACUAUCUAGUAGCUGGUUCCUGCCGAA
rnacentral:rRNA from 1 species